UGGGUCGGUCGGGCGAGCGAUGAAGAGUGGCCCGCAUUCAGAUGAUGGGCUCAAGGUGGUAAGUAUCUAAAGCACCAGUCCCAUCCCCCCUUUUAGACUCAAUUUUGCAGCAAGUGUUGCAACCCAAGGCAUGUGCAAGUUAAUUUGUGAAUGAGUAAAAUGCAUCAUAAGUCCUAAAACUAUCGGAGGUGUGUCAGUUUAGUCCUAUAACUUUGAAACUGCAUUUUUGGGUCCUAAAACUAUCAGAGGUGUGUCAGUUUAGUCCUAUAACUUCGAAACUGCACUUUUGGGUCCUAAAACUAUCAAAGGUGUGUCAGUUUAGUCCUAUAACUUUGAAACUGUAGUUGUGGGUCCCAAAACUAUGUAAGUUUCUUCCUCUUAGGUCCUAAGCUUGCAUGGUUAGCAUUGACCCACCAACGUGUCACUUGGAAAUGCUUGGAUUGUAGCCACGUUGACCUGACCCAAUGGGCCCACCAGGUAAAUAUGCAAAAAAAAACUAGAGCGUUGUCUCGCCUCAUUCUCACGCGCUCAUCUUCUCCCAUGCACAGAAUGCUCAGAGGCGACGGUACAGAGGCCAUCAGUGGAAUGAUGGUUUGAGCUCCAGCGAGGAGAGUAGACCGGUCAUCUCAGCCUCCCCCAACAGCAGCAGAACGACAUGUCGCACAACGUCCAAUUGCUACCCACCUAUGGCUACUGCUAGGGUUGUGUCACUCUCGAUGACCUCUGCGCCAGCUUUGCAGUUUCCGCGCACUCCUCUGUGUCGCCCGACAGCUCACCACCUAUGACCAUGCUCGUGCCCAAACAACAGCCUGCACGGCCAACUCUACGGCAAGGGUGUCGGGGCAACGACGAUAUCAUCAAACAGAGAGAGAGAGAGAGAGAGAGAGAGAGAGAGAGAGAGAGAGAGGUGGGAUGGCGUACUCCAUCCCAAUUGGCUCGGGAUCUCCCCGGCGGCCUCGUCGAGGGAGAGGGAUGUCGUCCUUCAUGCCGACUAGCUCGGGGUCUCCCCGACGGUCACGCCAAACCUCUCAGGGAGGCUACCGUGCAGCUCAUGGCCAUGGAGGUGGUGGGCAUGCAGGUUGCAGGACACACUGCAACGUGGAAGUGUAUGUACCACUUUGGGGGAUAUAAACACAUACAAAGGGCUCAUUUGAAAAAAUGCACCAUGGAUGGUGGCCAUGCAAGAUUAGGACCUCAGAUGAACAAACAUACAUAGUUUUGAGACCCAAAACUGCAAUUUUGAAGUUAUGGGACUAAAUAUGACACACCUCCAAUAGUUUUAGGACCCAAAAGUGCAGUUUCGAAGUUAUAGGACUAAACUGACAUACUUUCGAUAGUUUUAGGACCCAAAAGUGCAGUUUGAAAGUUAUAGGACUAAACUGACACACCUAUGAUAGUUUUAGGACUUGUGAUGCAUUUUACUCUUUGUGAAUUCUUUCUGCUAUACAAUCAAAGUGGGUAGUAAUGGGUAUAAAUAGCAGUGGGUGAUAGUGCCAGAAAAUGCUAAAUCAGAAGCAUCAGAUCAUUACAGCGAGUGUGCAAGACAGUUCGUGAAAAAUAAAAUAAAAUUCAGCAGCACUCACUGAAGAUAAAGUUUUUUCUAGGUCGGCUAGUUACUUCUAGUAAGCUCACACUUUGGUAAUGGUAGAUGCUAACAUAAUGGACCAUUGUGGUGCACCAGUGAAUCUCCGUCAUGGUGGCUGAGCUAACUGAAGAUAUCAACAGCGAGAUGCUCCAUCUCCAUAGCUCGGAGGAGCUUCGAAGCCAACGCACUGGCAUAGACCGAGGAGCCCUCAGAUAUCUGCACAGUAGGUAAGAGAUGUCAAGCAGAAUGGUACCACCAUGUGUGAUAAUACAGUAGAAACGGGGAAGAGGGCCAAUGUGUUGCUUUGAGUAAAGAAAUCUGAUUGUUACCUUUGUGUUGAACAUGAAUAUAUGUUGAUCUCCAAUAAUCCCCCCAACAACAUGGAUGAGUUCAAGACGAAACUCAUCAGUAACCUUUGCAGCACAAAGCAAAGAAUUAGUCUUCUUCUUUUCAGUGAACUUGAUGUUGAUCUCAUUACCAACUAUGCGGACAUCAACAUGGCAUUCCUUGGACCUCCUUUGUAUCCAUGAGCUCCUUAUAGCUCCAUUCAGCUGACUGUCUUGAUCGUCCUUCACUUGCUGCAGCGACGAACUUUCUCCGUUGUCACGUGCUGCGUCAUCCAACUUAAGCAUCUUCAUCCUAUGUUUGGUAUCGCCUUCCACCAAACUUGUCAGUUCCUUCAAUGUUCUGUUCAGCUCAUUGAUGUAUUCGAUGGCAUCUCCAACUAUAGAGGCUCGGUCAUUCUAAAGAAAAAUAUUGUAAUAACCCAUAACAUCACAUUCACGAGAAAUACAAGAAGUGUACACAAUUUAAAAAGAUUUUGUCAUGAUUCCAUUUGUCUUAUUUGCCUUAGAUAGCCGGAAGAUACCUCUUAAGGAUCAGUAUGGUUGGUGAUAAGGUAAUGCUGUAUAUGUCAAAUCAAAUCCCAUUUGAUCUAUGUAAGAUUAUUUUUCUGUUUCACAACUGUUUUAUCUUCAGUGUUUCACAACUGUUUUAUCUUCGGUUAAGCAAAAAGUGACAGAUCCUAAAAAUCUAACAAUGGUAAUGUAUUUAUGCUGCAUAAACAAAGGAGUUGCAUUCGAAUUUGUUGUCUUUGGAUACUAAUGAUCUAUGCACAUCAAUUUUUCAACUAAAUCCACCGAGAACUCCAGUAUGCACCUACAGAAAGGUCCAGCAUACACUUUCCCCAACAUAACGUAUGCCAUCUAUGUGGAACUUAUAUUAGGUGGACUUUGUAGCUAGGAAACUUUGUAAAAGCUUGCUGGUGAUGAAAACAUAAAAAAAAAAUCAGGUUUGUUUUGACCUUCUAAAUGCCAGUGGUAGUGGUUCUUUUUAUACUGUUAGAAAAUAUUGUUGGCUUCAUACUGAAAUGGCGCCACAUCUGGAAACUAAUAAAAGACAGCGAAUUUUGUAGAAAAUUCACGUGAUUAGUUGCCAUUUAAGUGAUUUAUCAGUAACUGUGAGAACCAAAAAUCAUUUAAAAUCUAGAGAAGAUGUGUUGAACAAACCUUCGUAGGGCUUGGCAGCAGUGAUCUUAAAGCCCCAUAUUUCACAUUUAUCUGCUCCCUCCUCUCUUUUUCAGUUGCAAAGUUAGCUUUUGCCUUGCCAAAGCCACCUUUCUUACUUCUUCCCAGUUUGGGACUACCAAACUGCCUCCCGUCUAUCUCUUGGAGAAUAUUUCCUGCAGCUCCUACUACCCCCAUCGUCCGAUCUCUCUCAUCAUCACUGGAGAACAGCCCAAAACUUUGCGGAAGUGAAUGAUAGAGAUCCUUGAAUAGGUGAGAUUGAUUACCAUUAUAUUGUAAUGGUAGAGUUAAAUCACCGAGCAUCAUCCCACUGUCAUGAAUUGCUCUUCCCAGAACAUCAUUGUUGAUGUCCAAUUGGUUGCCAGCAUUCUGCCCUGGAUCACCAAAGAUAUGUUCUGUCGAAGGGAAUGCAGUAGUCAUACUGUACCUUGGGAUCUGUAGAAGAUUUAGGAGAUCAGGUGCAGUUGUGUGAGCACCAUCUGGAUAUGAUGCAGCAUCAUAGUCAUCCAUUUGUUGUUCAAUUGACUGUUGACUGAUGAUAUGAUUUUGGGUACCGAACAUUGCAGGAACCCAAUUUGAAGUUUCUACCUGGGUCUCCUGUAUCAUGUGGCCGUGAAGAUCCUGAUCCAUGUCAAAUUCAGCCCGAUGUUGUAUAUGGUUGAUAGUUCGUGCAGGCUCAGAGGUAAGAUUGGUUGGAUUGCAUAUAUCUUCUAUGAAAAAGGAGGGACCGUGGAAGUUUCCUUGCGCAAUCUCUGUACUGUCACAAAUAGAGUCCAGGGAAUCAUGAAUCAGUGAUCCUGCCAUGAGGAUAGCAUCUCUGGAACCAUCAAAAUAACCUCCCUCAGCAAUCAUUUUGUCCUCUGGUGCCUUCAGUCAAGAUCUAAAACAACAAAAGUUAGUAACCAAGGAGCCUCAAAGAUGUAUCUUAAAGUAGUACAAUUUUGGGGGAAAAGGAACCAAAUGGAAGAGACGAAGCUGAUGAACAAAUGACACAGUAGCAUGUUAGAAGCGAUCAACUGAAAUAGCUUGGAUCUAAAAUAGAGAAAAUCAUUGGUUCAAGCAUGCAUAUUUAGGAAAAAGGCUACUCAACUUGAAUGAAACAGACAAUCUGUUUGUUAGAUAGAGAAGGCUGCAGCUCGCCUUGGUCGUGUUGGUUGUUCGGAAGAAAGCAAAGACGUGGAGUUUAAGCUAGGCAUCUGGUUGUCUCUUCUUUCGAUGAGGAGAAGCAGUAUUAGCACACUGGACGAGACAUGAAGUCUCUUUGCUUCCUCAAGACCCAACAAACUCCAGUGUGUCUUUAUUGGUAUCAUACUAUAAAUAUUAAUCUUCGUAGCUUGUGCUUCAACUACCUUAACCUCACCAGUUAAUAAGCAGAGACUAAUACAAAAUCAUGGGUAGUGACCUAAAUAUCCCUCGUGUUGCUGUAAUUUUCUCAGAAAGUGCAAGAAAUCAGAAGUUGUUGAAAGUGUUUCAACUUAUAAAGCUAAAAGUAAGUUCUCUGAACAAAAGGCAGAACAUUAUGAUCCCAUUUUUCUAGGAUUUUUUUUAAUUCUUUAAAAGUAGGGGUGAUGUGUGUCUUGACAGUAGCACUAAAAGCUUGAAGAAAAGAGAUGUGAAGAGAGCAUUACCAAGAUUAAUUCUUUCUUGCCAGAUCAAAUGAAGGAAAUGUUGCUCAGAAACUAGUAGCUCAAAAGCAUUGUUGAGAACGAGUUGGGGUGCUAUGCCAAUAAUAUGUAGGGACUAGAGAAGACUAUGGUGAGAACUGGCAAGCAAAAUGUAACUGGCAUGUGAAGGACUGAAGGCAUGGAAACAACAGUUUUUGAUCUUCAUGUAGAACUUAUGAGCAUAUAACAGAACACGUCAAAUAGCAAUCAUUUCCUAAUUGUGUCUUCUAGACAGUGCAAGGGAGGUCAAACCGUCAAAGCUAAGGGCUAUCAUAUCUUCAUCAUUAAGAACAGAAGACCUGAAAGAUGGGAAACUCACACUCUUUGAACUUGGCAUCUUUGCUGUUACUCUUCCAGCCGGAAGUUGGGAAAUGCAAGUCAUGCCUUCUCCAUUCUUCCGUAUUUUAUGCAUGUACCGGUACACUCCGCUAGGAGAAACAAAC
rnacentral:lncRNA from 1 species